CAUAAAACCAGGUUGAAUAGCUUUUUUACAACUAUGGUGUCAGGAACAUAUGUUUGUAUUCCUGACACUAUAGUGUUCCUUUUAUCAAAUUUAAGGAACAUUCUGGUCACCAUAACAACUUCAACUAAAUGAAAAUGCUAUGAUGCAAGGAGGCCCCUGGGCGCUCUCUUUCCUUUAAAGGGUGAAACCACUCUCAAAUGGUUUACCCCCAAGGCUUCCUCCAGCU